CACAACCGCCUGCGCAGAUGGGCUGGACGCGGAGGCGGGGAAACACUGCGGCAGGGGAUUCCGUCCGCAGGAGAGCUGGUGGAGAGGAGAAGCUCGCGUGUGGCGCCAGGACCAGCGGUGUGCAUUUGUCCGCGCCAUGGGAGAGUCCCCACGCCGAGACGUGCGCACCACGUAGAUCACUCUGGCAGAGGAAUGGCGUGCUGUCCUCUUUCCAGGGAAUCACAGAGAGUGGAACUCAUGAUGACUCUUUGGUGGGUUCCACGGGAGUGAAGCUUCCUUCCUCUAAAAAAAGAAGACAGGCUGGACCUGAUUAGCAGCCCACAAAGGUUGGGCAGGACGAUCACAACUUCAUAUCUGGCUCAGGCAACUUUGUAAGACCCUGCCCUAAAAUAUUUAAAAAAAAUGACAAAUAGCAUGGGGAUAUAGCUCAAUGGAAGAGCAUUUGGCUAGCAUAUGUGAGAUCCUCAUUGGAGUUUUUAGUACUGGAAACAAAUAAUGAAAGAAAGAAGAGUAAAGGUUUGGACUGGGAGAUUUGGCUCAGUGGAGGAGCAAUUCCUCACUUUGCAUGAGGUCCUGGGCUCCAUCCUCAGUAUUAGUGAAGAGGCUAAGAAAGAAUAGGGUGCAACUUACUUGGUAGAGUCUUCACCUACGUACAUGAACCCAUGAGUCCAGUAACUGACAGCAUGUAAAACUGAGUAUGGUGGCAAAAGCCUAUAAAGGCAGUGCUCUGAAGGACAAGGUUUGAGGAGCAGAAGUUCAAAGCCAUCCUCUGCUACAUAAAGAUUUUGAGUUCAGCAUGGUCAACAUAGGACCAUGAUAAAAACAAGUGAAUGAAUGAGUGAAUCAAUGAACAGAAAGACAUUUUCAUUCAUAUUCUUAGAGUCUAUCAUCACCAGUUUGGUAAUUAACUGUCAUGCUCACCAUAAUUAAUUUUAUGCCACUUACAUUAACAACUGAUGAAUCUAAUUUGUUUAUAAAGGUUUCAUGUUCUUUUUUGCACUGAGUCUGAUACUCAGGAGAGAUGCCACAUUUACAUAUGCUGAUUCAGAGCAGAAUGCACCAAGCAGAAAGAAGAAGUGAGAACUGAUCAAGCCAACUGAUCUUUUCAACUAAUCCAUAGGCUGCUGUGGUCUGAGUCACCCCUACUGAGGACACUGGCUUGAGGUGGGAUUCUUCUCUGUAUGCUGUGAGUAUCAUUGGUUAACAAAGAACCUGCUUCGGGCCUGUUGCAGUGCAGAAUAGGGCAAGGCAGGAAUUCCAAGCAGAUAGAAGAGGAGAGAGUAGGUGAAGUCACUGAGAAGCCAUGUAGCCACCAUAGCAGACAGAUACCAGAUGCCAGAAAUAUGAAUGAGCUAAUAGGCCAAUUGUAAAUAAUACAGUUUCUGUGUGAUUAUCAUGGGUCUGAGUGGCCAGGGAACUCCAUAAUUUUAUGAAUACGUAAUGAGUCAAUAACUUUGCCUUAUGAAACACAAUAUGAUACAGCUAACAGAGAUUCCCAGGGAGCAAUGACAACAAGGAAACAUUCAUAGAACUUUUGAAUGUAAUGUAUUUGAAUUGAAAAAUUUGAAAAUAAAGGCAGAAGCUAGAAAUAGUAGGGGUCAUAAAUAAAAGAUGUUAUGUAACGGCAAAAGUGGUAGGUUUACUAAAAAUGUGUUAUCAGUGGUUGAGGAUUGCGGGAGGCAGGGACUGAUAGGGAAUGUUACAGAUGGAAGGGGAGAGAAGCAAUGUGUGCUAUCUAGUGCAUGUUAUUUGCCUACAGAUGACCGGCAUGGACUGUCCAUUUUUAAAACUCCAAGAAAGGGUUUUCAAUGUUUUCUUAUUAAGAAAUAUCACUUGAGGAGAGUCAUAUAUCUAAACUGCAUAAAACUUCACAGCGUGUGCACAUGUGUGAAUGUCACACGGUACUGCAUAAAGAUGGACAAAUUUCAUCCUUUAAGGCAUCAAUUAAAUGAAAUUCAGUUAAAAACACAUCCAUCUAUGUCACUCUGAGCCCCAACUAGCCCAUUUACAAGUGGUGGGAAGAGAGAAAGCCAGGGACAAAGUCCUUCCCAUGUAAACCAUAGCACCAAUCCAGUAGCAGGGCUGGAGCAAUCCACAGUUUUCUCUGACCACAGGCAGACACCAGGCUGGUCCCAAGGGAAGUGAAAGUCCCCGUCCUCCUCAGCAGUCACAUCAGCUCCUUAGUUACAAUGUGCCUGUGAGUUCUAUACAAUCUACAGACGUCAGCAGCCUAUCCUAAUAAUCUCUAGGGCUGCUUUACCCUUGUCUGUGUUUUCUCUAAGGACCCAGUGAGAUUGGCACUGAACAAGCUCAUUGCUUCAAAGUGGUAGGAUGCUCCCUGGGUUAUAAGGUCAAGGGAAGAGAGCUUCUAGAAGAAGGAAAUGCAAACAACCUCUGCUUAGUACCCUGCAAUGCACAGCAAACAGGAGGCCUCCCUUGCAAUGUUACAUCCAGAACUUGCAAGGUCCUCCCUCCCCACAUGAGACCUGCAGAGUCCAGAGGAAUUAAUAUGUCAAAUUCUCCUCUUGCCCUCUGGAAACAAAGGACACUUUUGUCCACACAAAGGUAUGAUGACUUGAAUUACUGAACAUUUUCUCCUUCCAAGAUGUGAAGACAAAAGAAAGGGGAUCAUCCCUAUCCUGGCAUAAGUUUCUUCCAGGAUUUUUUUUCUUACCUGAGACAUGGCAAAGUCUAAGCAAACAGAAUAAAGCCUGUUUCCAGAUUUGCCUAACUUCCUCUCUGCUGAACAAGAGACACAUAGAAGUCAUUAUAGCACAGCUUUCGAUAGUGGCAUUUUAUUUGUAUUUUAAUAAUCAAAACUUGCCUGAAGAUCAAAACAGUAAAACAGUCACACUGGCCAGACUUACAGACCAGGCAGCGAUGACACACACCUUUAAUCCCAGUAGCCACAUUAGCUUGCCAUAGAAACCAGGUGGUGGUGGUGCAUGCCUUUAAUCCCAAAACUGGAGAAGAUUACAAAAGAGGAGGAGUCAGCUCUCAGUCUCGGUCUCACUCUGAAAUUCCUGGAGGUAGGAUCACCAUUUUCGAACUGAGGUCGAGGUAAGAGCCAGAGGCUUGCUGCUUUGCUUUUCUGGUCUUCAGGUGAACCCCAGUAUCUGUCUCUGAGUUUUUAUUAAUCAUGCUCAGAACUCUCAGCUGAGACAGGUCAAAAUGGAAGCAGACUCAGUAGCACGGGUAGAGUCUGACACAUCAGAUGUUGAGUUAUAAGAGGAAGAAUUAACGUUAGUAAGCUGCCUUCUCUGCAUCAUGAGGUACCUUCUGUGAGGUCUGCUUCAUGUUACUGUUGGGUGGAUACGACUAAUGAUUUACCGUGAGUCACCAACUUCAACAACAACAACAGGCAAUGUGUAGCUAGGUAGUUUAAAAGAAGAGUGGGUAUGGGUAAGUUAUGUUUGUGGGAGUUCAUUAUGAAUUCACAGGCAUACAAAGGAGAAAAAGAAAAAUGUAGCCAUCAAAACAGCACUACCUGUAGCACAGACAAUAAGGGCAACAUUGAAUAAAUGGGACCUCCUAAAACUGAGAAGCUUCUGUA